AUUGAACGCUGGCGGCAUGCCUUACACAUGCAAGUCGAACGGUAACAGGUCUUCGGAUGCUGACGAGUGGCGAACGGGUGAGUAAUACAUCGGAACGUGCCCGAUCGUGGGGGAUAACGGAGCGAAAGCUUUGCUAAUACCGCAUACGAUCUACGGAUGAAAGCAGGGGACCGCAAGGCCUUGCGCGGACGGAGCGGCCGAUGGCAGAUUAGGUAGUUGGUGGGAUAAAAGCUUACCAAGCCGACGAUCUGUAGCUGGUCUGAGAGGACGACCAGCCACACUGGGACUGGGAGACGGACCAGACUCCUACGGGAGGCAGAAGUGGGGAAUUUUGGACAAUGGGCGAAAGCCUGAUCCAGCCAUGCCGCGUGCAGGAUGAAGGCCUUCGGGUUGUAAACUGCUUUUGUACGGAACGAAAAGCCUAUUUCUAAUAAAGAGAGGUCAUGACGGUACCGUAAGAAUAAGCACCGGCUAACUACGUGCCAGCAGCCGCCGUAAAAC
rnacentral:rRNA from 1 species